CUGCCUGAUGGAGGGGGAUAACUACUGGAAACGGUAGCUAAUACCGCAUAACGUCGCAAGACCAAAGAGGGGGACCUUCGGGCCUCUUGCCAUCGGGUGUGCCCAGAUGGGAUUAGCUUGUUGGUGGGGUAACGGCUCACCAAGGCGACGAUCCCUAGCUGGUCUGAGAGGAUGACCAGCCACACUGGAACUGAGACACGGUCCAGACUCCUACGGGAGGCAGCAGUGGGGAAUAUUGCACAAUGGGCGCAAGCCUGAUGCAGCCAUGCCGCGUGUAUGAAGAAGGCCUUCGGGUUGUAAAGUACUUUCAGCGGGGAGGAAGGGAGUAAAGUUAAUACCUUUACUCAUUGACGUUACCCGCAGAAGAAGCACCGGCUAACUCCGUGCCAGCAGCCGCGGUAAUACGGAGGGUGCAAGCGUUAAUCGGAAUUACUGGGCGUAAAGCGCACGCAGGCGGUUUGUUAAGUCAGAUGUGAAAUCCCCGGGCUCAACCUGGGAACUGCAUCUGAUACUGGCAAGCUUGAGUCUCGUAGAGGGGGGUAGAAUUCCAGGUGUAGCGGUGAAAUGCGUAGAGAUCUGGAGGAAUACCGGUGGCGAAGGCGGCCCCCUGGACGAAGACUGACGCUCAGGUGCGAAAGCGUGGAGAGCAAACAGGAUUAGAUACCCUGGUAGUCCACGCCGUAAAC
rnacentral:rRNA from 1 species